CGCCCCUUUGAUAAGAGCUUAUAUACCGCGGCGCCGAGCAUAGCGGGCGCACUUUUUCCCAGCUUAUCACAGUCGGCGGCCCAGCUGUGCUGGUGCUCGCCAGUCACCUUGUCAAUGGAAUAAAGCAAUUCCCUUUGCGUACUGUCCCUGCAACCGCCUGGUUCCUGCCUGCCUGGAAGAACACCACAUAAUGGCGACGAGGAUCAACGCAUCGACAGCGGGACCCUGCAGCUAAGUUGACAGUCUCUUCUUCGGAACCGACAAUACUGCAAAAUGGCCUCGCAGCUGGGACAGAUGGAACCUUUUGACGACUCGACCAGUGACUGGACGUCGUACGACGAGCGACUCUCAUCGUAUCUGAGGGCAAACAAGGUUCCAGCCGACCUUCAAGUCGACGUUGUCAUUGCUGCGACUCGAUGUCCCCUGGGCCUGGAGUGACGAGUGCGAAGCAGCCUUCUCGCAUAUCAAGCAGCCGCUCUCGCAGCCACCGGUUCUCGCUCACUACGACUCCAGUGCGCCCCUGCAACUGUCGUGUGAUGCAUCGGCAUACGGUAUAGGAGCUGCCAUCUCUCAUGUGGAGCCAAAUGGUCAGUGCCAUCCGGUUGCGUACACAUCACGUACCUUAUCUUCAGCGGAGGUCAACUAUAGUCAACUGGAAAAAGAGGCGCUCGCUCUAGUUUUCGGCGUCAAACGUUUCCACUACUAUCUUUUCGGGCGUUCAUUUGUUCUCGUUACUGACCACAAACCCUUGCAGACAAUUUUCGGUCCCAAGACGGGAAUACCAACUGUUGCCGCAGCUAGACUGCAACGCUGGGCUUUAGUUCUGUCUGCUUACAAUUUUACUUUGAAGUAUAAGCCAUCGAGUCAAAACGCUGAAGCAGAUUGCUUAUCUCGAUUGCCUCUGCCAAGUGAAAGUGAAGAAUGCUCGGAUGACCAGUUUUAUCUCCUACGCAUGCAGUCCUUGCCAAUUAACUGUCGCGAUGUGGCACGCGAAACGGCCCGAGAUCCGAUUCUAAAGAUAGUCAUGCAGCACGUAAUGAACGGUUGGCCUGAGACCAUCGUGAGUGAAGAAAUGAAGCCGUUUUUUCACAGACGCCGUGAACUUUCUGCACAGCUAGGGUGUCUUCUUCUUGGAAUGCGUCUCGUUAUUCCUCGCAAACACCAGUCGCUGAUGCUCGAAGAAUUGCACCAGGGACAUCCAGGAAUUGUUCGGAUGAAAGAACUAGCACGUAGUUACGUGUGGUGGCCAUGCAUCGAUCGCGACAUUGAGGCCCAAGUGCGUUCUUGCAACUCCUGUUUAACGCAACGCGCGAUGCCUUGCCCGGCUCCUUUGCACCCGUGGGCAUGGCCAACCAGACCACGGGAACGUCUGCAUAUCGAUUUUGCAGGGCCUUCCAAGGGCGCCAUGUUCUUGGUUGUGGUCGACGCUCACUCCAAGUGGCCGGAGGUGUGCCAAAUGCGAGACACGUCCGCGGAAAACACAGUAAACCGUCUCCACGAAAUCUGCAGGUUUGGUUACCCUGAAGUUGUGGUAUCUGACAAUGGACCGCAGUUCAUCUCAGCUGUGUUUUCAAACUACCUUGAGAGCAUUGACACGCGCCAUGUAAGGACGUCAGCCUACCAUCCGAGCAGUAAUGGACAAGCUGAACGAUUUGUCCAAACUUUGAAAGCGGCACUGCGGAAAAGUACUGCCGCGAGCUUAAGCACCACGUUGGGAGAGUUUUUGUCUUACAGGAACACUCCACAUGCCUCCACGGGCGAGGCGCCGGCCACUCUCCUGCUACAGCGUAGACUCCGCACCCGUCUAGAUGCCGUCAAGCCCUCGCUACAGCAGAAGGUUUCGACGCGGCAGUUCGUCCAGACAGUGCGUCGCAAGCAGCGCGCACGUGAAUUCGCUGUGGGUGAAAGUGUUCUUGUGCGAAAUUUCAGACGCGGUGCAAAGUGGUUGCCUGGGAUUGUGUUAGGGCGGACUGGACCUGUUUCAUACAGAGUUCGUGUGGAAACCGGUCGAGGUGUGUUUGCCUGGAAGCGCCACCAGAACCACAUAAUUCAAGCCAGGGAUAUGGACUUUCCGUACAUCCCUGAACAGCGAGACGACCCCGAGCAGCCGCGACCCGACAGCCCCGACCCGGUGCAGCCAGCUUCGUCUUCUCUUCCAGCCACGGCAGAGCAGCGUUAUCCUGCAAGGCAGAGGCGCCCUCCAGACCGCUAUGUGCCAUGAACUACUUUUUGUUUCAGUGCAUGCGCCCGAACUACAAUAAAAACGGGGAAGUGUAGUGGCUGCACGUCUACCGAUAACCUACACGUGCGCUACUGCGACAUGCCCCUUUGAUAAGAGCUUAUAUAUCGCGGCGCCGAGCGUAGCCGGCGCACUUCUUCCCAGCUUAUCACAGUCGGCGGCCCAGCUGUGCUGGUCCUCGCCAGUCACCUUGUCAAUAGAAUAAAGCAAUUCCCUUUGCGUACUGUCCCUGCAACCGCCUGGUUCCUGCCUGCCUGGAAGAACACCACAACAGGCAGCACUGUCGGCCGGUAUUUCGUGAAAAGAAACACCUGGAGGUCUUUUCCAUUAACUAGACGUAGACAGUGGAACACAACAGUAGCGCGCGGCUGCAGGAAUUCAUCUACUACACAACUCUAAAACACAGUCAAUUCUACAUUGGCACAAACAAAAAGGAUGCAAAACAUAGGCGCGGACAGCGUGCACAGCAGCAGUGACCGGUCCUGUCGUGUCUGCGGUAGUGUCAGCUCUCAUGGCCAUUUCAGCUGCAUGGUUGAGAGAAACAGGAGAGGGUUCGGCAGGAAGCGCCCGCUCACACGACUGGCAUAUUCUUAGAGGAGGUGCUGGCUUUGAUUAAUGCUGUUUCGGAUGCGGUCACUGCAAAAGGUCUGGAAAAUGGCAUGGCCGAAGGGCUCUUGCAUCCGGAAUUUCACAAGUUCUGAUACUUGACUCUAUGGGGUACGUGGUUGUGCUGGGAAGCUGUCCGAAUUAUUGGGCACGCCACCGCAACGACAGUGGUCACAAAAAUACCCUUCUUGACGCAGGUCAGUUACCUUCCGAACGCGGCUUGUGUCCGCUCUAGAAAUCGCUGUUUUCUUGCGAUGUCGUGCCCCCCUUGUGUUAAUGGAACUUGUUGUGGGCUGUUGUGUGAAAUAUUAUCUCUAUAUAUCAAUGCUAACACAAUUACUCUGCUCCUGUUGCUGUCGGGCGACGUAGAAUUAAACCCAGGACCAACUGACGUUUCACCGCCGUCCAUUGAAACUAUUGCAAAGGCCAUAUCUCGCAUAGAAACAUCACAAAGCUCUGUUCUGUCCAAACUUUCUUUAAUCCGAGCAUCACAGAAUAGCAUCGAGACCCUCGUGACCAGCCUUUCGGCUCGCGUUGAUGCCCUGGAGAAGAUUGUCCAGUCGACUCAGUCAAAGGAAAUAGGUUUAAAGGUGGACGUGAAUGGUAGCCUUGCAAAACUUUCCACUGAAAUCAAAGUCCUUACCGAAAAAUGCGAUGAUGCAGAAAAUCGCCUGCGUCGUUCAAACUUACUUUUUUUGGAAUUCAAGAGACAAAGGGUGAGACUUGGCUUGAGUCUCAGACAAAAAUAGUAUCAUUCUGCUCCGAGCAACUCGGUUUAUCCGUUUGUACAGACGACUUGGAGCGUGCAAACCGACUUGGUCGUUACCAGCAAGACAAAACUAGGCCUAUUAUUGCAAAAUAUGCAAGAUUUAAAGAUAAAUCAAGAAUUCUUGCAGUGGUUUCUAAGUUCAAGGGCACGAAUUUUUCGAUUCGCGAGGACUACUCAGCCAGAGUUCGACAGGCACGAAGAAAACUUUAUCUUCCUGGACAACAGAGCGGCAGAUCAUUUAAACUUCGUUUUGACAAGCUGCUGCUUGAUGGCAAACAAUUCACGAACAAUGCUGAAUCUGAUUGUAUAGUUGAACUGAGGGCAUAGCGGUCACUGCGUCUCUCCAGGCAUGCGCGCCCCCUCUUCUCCCCUCCAGACCUGCCGCGCCUCGAUUACUGUCCCUGUUUAUCAAAUUAUGUCGGUCUUGCUCGCAAACAUGCGUAGUUACCUGCCUAGGAAAGACGCCCUAGAAUCUAUCUUCAAAGACAACAAUACUGACCUUGCUAUACUUACGGAAUCUUGGCUGCAUCCACAUAUUGCUGACUACGAGCUACUAAAUGAUAGCCAAACAUACGCUGUUCACAGGAUUGACAGGUUGGGGCGCAGGGGAGGCGGGAUUUUGAUUUUUGUUAAAGAUAGUGUUCCCUCAUAUGUCACCAAAUUGAACUGUCAACAUGAAAUUUUCUGUGUAAAUAUAUCACUUCGGUCAAGUA